AUUUUCCCACGCUGUGUAAUUUGACUCAUAACUCUCUGAUUGGUUACUUUCAAUCAACCAAUCAGAGUGUUGUUAUGAGUCAAAUUACACAGCGUGGGAGGUCGGGAGGGGGGCCAUUUUUUUAUUUAUUUUUUUUAA